rnacentral:rRNA from 1 species
GACGAACGCUGGCGGCGUGCCUAAUACAUGCAAGUUGAGCGCUGAAGGUUGGUACUUGUACCAACUGGAUGAGCAGCGAACGGGUGAGUAACGCGUGGGGAAUCUGCCUUUGAGCGGGGGACAACAUUUGGAAACGAAUGCUAAUACCGCAUAAAAACUUUAAACACAAGUUUUAAGUUUGAAAGAUGCAAUUGCAUCACUCAAAGAUGAUCCCGCGUUGUAUUAGCUAGUUGGUGAGGUAAAGGCUCACCAAGGCGAUGAUACAUAGCCGACCUGAGAGGGUGAUCGGCCACAUUGGGACGGAGACACGACCCAAUCUCCUGCAGGAGGCAGCAGUAGGGAAUCUUCGGCAAUGGACGAAAGUCUGACCGAGCAACGCCGCGUGAGUGAAGAAGGUUUUCGGAUCGUAAAACUCUGUUGGUAGAGAAGAACGUUGGUGAGAGUGGAAAGCUCAUCAAGUGACGGUAACUACACAGAAAGGGACGGCUAACUACGUG